GGAGGAAAGCAGGGGAUCGCAAGACCUUGCGCUCUUGGAGCGGCCGAUGCCUGAUUAGCUAGUUGGUGAGGUAAAGGCUUACCAAGGCGACGAUCAGUAGCUGGUCUGAGGGGACGACCAGCCACACUGGGACUGAGACACGGCCCAGACUCCUACGGGAGGCAGCAGUGGGGAAUUUUGGACAAUGGGGGAAACCCUGAUCCAGCCAUGCCGCGUGAGUGAAGAAGGCCUUCGGGUUGUAAAGCUCUUUCAGCCGGAACGAAACGGUCACGGCUAAUACCUGUGACUACUGGCGGUACCGGAAGAAGAAGCACCGGCUAACUACGUGCCAGCAGCCGCGGUAAUACGUAGGGUGCAAGCGUUAAUCGGAAUUACUGGGCGUAAAGCGUGCGCAGGCGGUUUUGUAAGUCAGAUGUGAAAUCCCCGGGCUUAACCUGGGAACUGCGUUUGAAACUACAAAGCUAG
rnacentral:rRNA from 1 species